CCUACGGGGCGCAGCAGUGGGGAAUAUUGGACAAUGGGCGAAAGCCUGAUCCAGCCAUGCCGCGUGUGUGAAGAAGGCCUUCGGGUUGUAAAGCACUUUCAGUGGGGAAGAAAGCCUUGGGGCUAAUACCCUCGAGGAAGGACAUCACCCACAGAAGAAGCACCGGCUAACUCCGUGCCAGCAGCCGCGGUAAUACGGAGGGUGCGAGCGUUAAUCGGAAUUACUGGGCGUAAAGCGCGCGUAGGCGGUCUGAUAAGCCGGUUGUGAAAGCCCCGGGCUCAACCUGGGAACGGCAUCCGGAACUGUCAGGCUAGAGUGCAGGAGAGGAAGGUAGAAUUCCCGGUGUAGCGGUGAAAUGCGUAGAGAUCGGGAGGAAUACCAGUGGCGAAGGCGGCCUUCUGGACUGACACUGACGCUGAGGUGCGAAAGCGUGGGUAGCAAACAGGAUUAGAUACCCUAGUAGUU
rnacentral:rRNA from 1 species